rnacentral:rRNA from 1 species
UACGUAGGUGGCAAGCGUUAAUCGGAAUUACUGGGCGUAAAGCGCGCGUAGGCGGCUGGAUAAGUCGAUUGUGAAAGCCCCGGGCUCAACCUGGGAAUUGCAGUCGAGACUGUUCGGCUAGAGUGUGGGAGAGGGCAGUGGAAUUCCCGGUGUAGCGGUGAAAUGCGUAGAUAUCGGGAGGAACAUCAGUGGCGAAGGCGACUGCCUGGCCCAACACUGACGCUGAGGUGCGAAAGCGUGGGUAGCAAACAGG